CCAAAACGCAGCACACACGUACGGAUCAGACUGCAAUAAAGCGCAAAUCGCAAGCCUAAAUCAAAAAAAAAAAAAAGAAGAAGACGCAUAAGGCCUGCGCGAAUAUGGAGGACCUGGCGUGCAAGCCUAAAAAAAAAAAAAAAGAAGACGUAUAAGGCGCAUUCGAAGGCCUGCGCGAAUAUGGAGGACCUGGCGUGCAAAUUUCCCGCUCUGCAUGAAAAGGCGCGGAUCCGGGUCGCUAUCCAGGUUGACGCGCGGACCUCCAAUAUCCCCAAACGGCGCCGUUUGGUUCUUUGCCUAAAAUUUUAAAGAAAACGAAUGGCAUUUUGCCAUUUUCUCUAGUUACAGGCCAAAUACCCACUUGUUAGGGUUUCAGCGCCGCAACCUUCACCCCUAGAGCCGACUCUUGGGUUUCACAGGCACUCAAUGUGCUUCCACCGCCGCCAAGACCCAAGGCUCCCCCUUUUAAUUUCGUUUCCACGCCAGAGGGACUUCGACGCCGAACCCGUAGGCAUAAUCAGGUACAGGUGCGUGGCGUGUGUACGAGGCUGUACUGGCGUACGAGGGUUGUUGACGUGGAGGCACGAGCAGCGUUAGGGCUGUACGGCGGCUGAGGGCUGUGGUGCAAAGAGAGAGAACCCUAGUGGUCUAAAGUUGUAAUUUUUUGGGCCUAUCGGGCCUGUAUUUGGGUCUUGGGUCUUUAAUCAUGUAACUUGGACUGUUAUAAGACUUGGGUUUUAUAUUUAUUUAUUUUGUAUUUAUUUUGGGUUUCAAAGGGGCCGAUCAAAUUGGCCUAUUUACAACAUUGAUAGCAAUAAAUCUCUUACAUGAAUUAUAUCUACAUUUUCGAA